ensembl:lncRNA
ACGCGGAAGCAGAUAUGCGAGUGAAAGCCAAAGUUUAUUAGGUCAGAGUCAAUAAUUGCAGUCCCCAAGCUCCCGAGAUCCUCCUGGUGGUGGGUGGCGCAUGGGUGGGGAGGUCAGCCCGUAGCCCGGGGAGAGGGAUGAUGAUGAGCCCAGGGUCAGAGAGAUCCGGCGACGACAAACUCAGGAACACAGGAACACAAUACGAAGCACGAGACUGGACCGCCGACAGGAAGGAACGCACGCACGCACGCACGCACGCACGCACGCACGCACGCACGCACGCACGCACGCACGCACGCACGCGAGACCAUCAAACGGGAGACAUCAAACAACGAUCUGACAAUGAGAGGAGGGACACUGUGAGAGUCUUAUAUAGGUGGCGAAAACGAGCUACAGCUGGCACGCAAAGUGUGAUCAGCUGUCCUGUUGAUUAUGCUGGGCUGCUGACUCCGCCCACUUCACACAGCCCCACAUGACACACGAAUGUUGGAGUUUUCUUCAACCAGGUUACGUCCUUCAAAUCUCAUAUAAAGAAGACUUCAAGGACUGCCUUUUUUCAUCUACGUAAUAUGAAAACGUGAUUCAGAACAAUUGGUUAAUGCGUUUGUUACUUCUGGAUUAGACUAGACUGUAAUUCUUUGUUAUCAGUCUGCUCUUGUGAAUCUCUUAAGCCUCUCUAGUUUAUUCAGAAUGCUGCAGCACGUGUAUUAAAAUAACUAAGAAAAGGCAUCAUAUUACUCCUCUAUUAACUUCUCUGAUACUUCUCCUCACCUACAAGGCACUUGUUGGCGAAGCACCGUCUUAUCUUAAAGAGCUUGUAACACCGUAUUGCCCUACAAGGCAGCUGCGCUCCAUAGAUGCUGGGUUACUUGUUGUUCCUAGGGUUUUAAAAAGUAGGCUGGGAGACAGAGUCUUCAGUUAUCAAGCUCCUCUUUUGUGGAACCAGCUUCUACUUUCAGUCCGGGGGGCAGAUUCGGUCAGCUCUCUUUAAGAUAAAGCUUAAGCUCUUUGAUUUUGCUUAUAGUUAGGGCUGGCUCAGGUUAGUCCGGACCAGCCCUUAGUUAAGCUGCUACAGGCUUAGACCGCCGGGGGACUUCUUAGGACACACCGAGCUCUUCUCUCACUCUCUCUUUCUACAGUAAUCCACGUUUUAUUAAUGCACAUGACUAAUUCAGCUUCUUUCCGGGAGUUUUUUUAUGCUUUCUUGCCUAACAGGUCUCCGUAGAUUGUAGUUCCUUCUGGACCCAGGUCCAAUAAAAAAAAUAAAAAUAAAAUGAAUUGAAUUGAAUUACCUGGUGGACCAUUCACAUCACUCAGUCUAUUUGAAUACUGAAUAUGAAUGUAUAUGUAAUUUCUUGUGAAAGUGGCAGGACUCUCCUGGACAGGUUUCACCCUGGAGGCAUGAAAGGUGGGGUAGAUCUUCAUGGCCCCCGGCAACUGAACUUUGACAGUUGCAGGGCCAGUUGUGACCACAUCAAUGGGCAGACCAUGCAGGCGGAACACCUUCUGCAGCAGUAACUCUGCUGUCUCUUUAAUGAGUUGGGCCGAUUUGGAGAAACGAUCAAUCACUGUCAGAAUAACUGUGUUUCCGUCAGAGGGGUGUAGGCUGGUUACGAAAUCCAAUGCGAUGUGGGACCAGGCGCGAUGAGGGAUGAGCAGAGGGUGAAGAAGGCCGGAUGGUGCUUUGCAAGAGCUCUUAUGCUGAGCGCAGAUCAAUUUGUGUCAGUCUUCCUCAGAGCGAAACCACCAUCCAUCAGACGAUGAAAGGAACCGCCCUUCAACCAGCUGCUGUGUCUGUUUCUGAUUACUAUGACGCAUGACUCUUCACCACCUUCUACAGCUGCAUGUAGAAUAUGGGAGGGUCCAAGGUGACUCCGCUGUUGGGAUCGUUGGCGUACUGCUGAAACGACAGUGGCAGCGCCGCUGCAGUUUGCUCAUCCGGUGCCUGCCGGGCUUUAGCGGCCCACUCAUCCUCCUCCUCCUUCAGUCCCACGGGUAGCGGGUUGCUGUAGAUGUAAUAGAUCCUGGAGUUGUCCCUGGCCGCCUCUGGUUUCCUGAAGAAGGCGAGAGGGUUGAUGAAGCUGGUGGACCUCUUCACUGCUUUGACGGCCACGGGGUCCGCCGGCUCGCCCCGGGUCACUGCACUCUCAUACACAUGGGCUCUCUUUGACUGCCUGGUGGAGAAGACGACUGCACUAGUGACUCUUAAUGUAACUUAAUGCCUCGGGCUCUAUAAUGCACGGUAUUCUUUGAAGUACCAACACUCAGUGCAAGUGCACUUAAUAUUAAGACAUCAACGAGGAAUCUCUCCUCCUGCGUGGGAA